GAGAAAUAUUUCCAGUUGUGAUGCAAGAUCAUGUAAAUUUUUUAUCAUCUUAGCGAAUCGGUUCGUUCAAAAUUAUUCCCUUUUUUCACGCUUUCACUAUUUUUUUUAUUUUAUUUUAUAUUAUAUUUUAUUGUAAAACAGUUGCUUACGAAUGUGUUUUCCGGCUUGUCGUGUUUAUUUGUUUGUUCAUUCAAACAUAUUUUUAUUAAAAAAGUUUACAUGUAAUAACGUACAAUCUAAUAAAUAACAAUGUUAUUUUUAAACAUAUAUAUUUUAAUUCCCAAUAUUGUUAACAGUAUUGUUCCCGCUUUCUUUUAUUCCUAAACACACACAUCUCAAAGGGCUCGUGAAUCAGUUUGACUGAAUCCUCGACAAGAAUCGGUUCAUUUAAAAAAGACUAUUCACUACUGUGUAUGCAGAUAAUAAAUCCAUCUCAAAGUCAUUUCUCCUUGAGGACCAACAAUCUAAUGGGCUGCACGUUUAAUCAAGUUUGCUAUCAUCCAAUACAUUGAGGAAACUCGUCCAGAGCCAGGCCUCUGCCUGCAGACCCAAAGCAGCGGGCCCAUGUCCGCAUCAUCUGUGACAUCAUCCCGUCUGGGACCCAGCCCCUCCAGGUUCAACAUGAAAUUGUGCUUACAGAAUGUGUUGUGUGAUUCAGAAAAUUGGAGCAGAGAAGGUACAGUGUCCUCAACAUUUCAUCAACCGAGGAUUCGAGGACAUCUAUGAACAAGAGAUGAGCUGUACAUACCAGUGACUUAAAGGAAGAUGUGUGAGUGCAAUGUGAAACAUACAAAGUGGACAAAAAUGCAAAUGUGAAAACAGGUAAAGUACGUGCAAAAUAAGAGAAAACAUUUAUUGCAC